rnacentral:rRNA from 1 species
CACGUAGGCGGUAGGACAAGUUAGAUGUGAAAUCCCAGGGCUUAACCUUGGAACUGCAUCUAAAACUGUUUUACUAGAGUUCACUAGAGGGAAGUGGAAUUUCCGGUGUAGCGGUGAAAUGCGUAGAUAUCGGAAGGAACAUCAGUGGCGAAGGCGACUUUCUGGAGUUGAACUGACGCUAAGGUGCGAGAGCGUGGGGAGCAAACA